UGAGAAUACUAGUUUUACAAUUAAAUACUACUACUACCAUAUACUAUAUAUAUUAUAACUAGCUAGGGUAACUGUAGAGAUUUGUAUGUAUCCGUCUCAGUAAAGGAAACAGGAAAAUCAUAGUUGGAAAUUGGGACUAGUCACAUCUUUAACCAUAUUUUAAUUGGACUAAGAAGAAAAUGAAGGUUACCAAAAUAAAAUUUUCAGUAAUAAAAUAAAGAGUCAUAUACCGUGUGCUUGUGAUAGUUAUUAUUAUUAUUAUUAUUAUAGGAAGAUGCUGCAGCUGGAACAUGAGGCUUUGAAUACUGAAAUUGUCAUUGAUAAUACUUGUAUUAUCUCUUUUUCUAAAAUUUUGUAGGAAUAUGAAAAUGGGAAAAGAGCCCCUUUUUAUUGAGGUAUAUGAAGAUACGCAUAGGAAUAAAAACAAGGACGGUAUAAGAGGAGAUUGGGUCAAACCACGUGAUAAGAAUGCAUGUAAGAAUUUCAAAAAAACAUAUAAGAGUGGCGUCAAAUCCAACCUACUUCAGAGGAGGGUACCCUUGUCCAACCAUCACCUGCAGAGCACAAUAAUAUGUGGACAACUUUGGUAGGUGGUCCAAAUAAAGGUAGAACCUAGGGGACAAGGGAUCUCCAAUCCUCGUGUAGUCCUUCGUUGUUUCCUAGUUCCUCUUCUACUUUGUAAAGUGUGAAAGAAAUGAAAGCGAUGAAAAAGCAAAUUGUGGAUUUGAAGCAGCAAUGUGCAGCUAAUGAUGCUAAGUUUGCUAAGUUGGUUAAGAAGAACAUGCCGCAAGUAUUUCAAGACGAGGAAGAUAAUGAAUCUAAUGAUAAUUAGAUUGUAGUUAUUGUUUUUGUUUUUAUUUUUGGUUGUGACAUUUAAAUGUUUAAACUAUUUGAUUUGAUGUUUGUUUUGGA